rnacentral:ncRNA from 2 species
AUGAUGCGCCCGCUCGAUGGUUCCACGUGCCGCCCGUCAUGGCGGUGCAUGGAGGCAAGAGGGAACAGGGUGAGGCAUCUUCGCCAAUGCCCUGGCUGCCCCCGCAACUGUAAGCGGCGAGGUCGCGUUCCACCUGUGUCACUGGAUACCCAAGUCCUUUCGAGGGCGGGCAUUCCGGGAAGACGGAACGAGGCCGAUGACCCGUGAGCCAGGAGACCUGCCACCGAGUUCGUCAUCUG